CUCCUAGAAACAAGUUUUAAAAUGCAAAUCCUUCCUUCCUUCCUUCCUUCCUUCCUUCUUUCCUCCCUCCCUCCCUCCCUCAACCCUCUGUCCCUUCCUUCCUUCCUCCAUAAUUUACCAAACAUUUAUUGAGCCAGUUUUUUGCUAAAGCACAAAAGCUAUAUAAAGAUAAGUCAUAGGUCAUGCUUUUGAGGUGCUCACAGUAAAAAAAAAAAACCCAGAGAUGAGUUAAAAAUGAAAUCAGCCUGUGAAGGGCCACUGGCUUCACAGAGAUGAAGAACCUCAAAGGACGAUUACAAGUUCCACAGAUGGGGCCAGAGGAGAAGAAUAUUUUGAGCAGAGGAGACAGCCCGAGCCCAGCGCAGAGGCCUGGAUGCAGUGUUCUUCUGAGAGACUAACAGCUCAUUCUCGGCACUACCCCUGGAGACGCCGAGCCAACUACUGCCACCAGUCAACAUCUAUUGAUUGAAUACUCCAUCUGUGUCAGGUCCUCCACUAGGCACUCGAGAUGCAAGACCUCAAAUAAUUCUUACAACAGCCUAAGAGGAAGCUGUCAGAUGAACUCUAUGCACUAAUGUGCCUGAGUCUGUGUUCCUUGAGAGCGCCACCCCAGGACUGUGUCGCAGCCGUCUAAUGAGCAUUAACAAUUGCACAUGAGGCAAGCAUCCAAGAGAGUUCUACAUUUCUUGCCAAGCACAGAAGGAGAAGGUGAAUCUAGAUAAUGCUUGCACUUGGGAAUCUAAACACAAUCCUGGCUUCAAGGAAACCCCCCAAAUUGCAAAGUUCUUGGACAGAAAGCAAAAUACAUUCAAUAUCCCUGCCACGUCUGUGAGAUUUCCGCUACCAUUCUUUACUGUGACCUCUGACUCGUCCAACAGGCUGAGAGCAAAGCAAAAAUGGGAGGAAAGAGGUCCUAUGAAAAACAAUAGGGUUGACAGAAAAUCCAGAGUCCACGGUAUAGUGUGGGCUUCCUGGCUUGUAAGCUGUUCGUAACGACUCACUCAGUGGUCAGGCUUUGACAGCAAACUGAAUUACUGUGGACCUAGAGCUAGGAUGUUAGCAAUGUAAUCCUUAAUUUAAAGAACUCAAAUGAUGCUGGAACGCAUAUAUAAUCAGGUAGGGAAAGCUACAUUUGCCUUGGAUGAAAAAUUAGUGGCAACUGGUUAGCAAGAAGGGAAAGUCAGGGUGACCAUAUUCUUUUCCUUUCCAGGUUAUCUUCGUAACAUCUCCAGAUAGUUUUUGCAUACCUAUUAUGCAAAAGCAGCCAGAAAUCCCUUUUGGGACAUCAGAGAGUCAGGAGGGUCUGUUUCGCAGACUUGGACCGGUGUAUCAGUCAGCUAUCGCCUCAAUAAGGCUACCUAAUAAGCCACCCCAAAACUCAGUGGCUUAAAACAACAAGGAUUUAGUCUCAUACUCACGAGUCUGCAAGAUGGAUUGUGGUUUGGCUGGUUUAGUCUGGGCUAGGCUGGGGAGCUCUGUUUCAGGCUGCAGCUCGGCUAUACUUGGCUCCAGACUGUAGACUGGGCUGUUGGCAUGUGUGUUUACUCUGGGGCCCAGGCUGAAGGAGCAACAGCUGCCCAGAGGAAGUUCUUCUCAUGGUAGAUCACUGAAGUGCAAUAAGAGCAGCCUGGAUGCACAGGCUCUUUUCAAGCCUCUGUCAUGUCCCAUCCACUAAUAUUCUCUUUGGCCAAACCCAAAGUUAAGGGGCAGGAAGUAUACUCCACCCACCAUGAGGCCGAGGCGAGGGUGUUGAUGAAUAAUUCUCUUUGAACGCUGUGAAGAAUUGAGAACAGUAAUUCAGUUUUCCACAGUGAUGAUUAAAUCUCCACAUAUCAAUGAAUUCUUCCUCCUCUGGCUACUUCUGGUUUUCUCUUCUGGCUUCCCAGACAAUGUUUGCAUGCCUACAGGGGAGCCAAAUUGCCAAGAGGUCAGAAUUACCCAUCCAAACAGAGAAGGAACAACUUUUCUUUUGGAAGGUUCUGCCCAUCCUGCCGGGUGUCAAGACAUCUCCAUUAUUGGGAAAGGGACGUGAUUAUGCAAAAUAACGGAAUGUAAAGAACCUAGAGCCAAAAAGCGAGUAAGGGGAGGGAGGAGAUUCAGCAAUUGGAACUAGAAAUGAAAUUUGAGUUAAUUUCAAGCAAAACACCCCAAGCAAAGCACAUUCUCCUGAAUCCCUUUUUCUUAUUUUUACUAUUUUAUCACAAAGGCAAUAAAUGUUCAUUGAGGAAAAAAAAUCAAUCUGGUGAGCAGAAAACACAAUCAUCCAUAAUCCCAUCACCCAUAGUUGGCCACCAUUCAAAUAUUUUAUACAUGGGUGACUACAGAGAAUCAGGGAUCAAGGUGACAAUACCUAGCCAACGUCAUGAAAAUAUUAAGGCUCUAGGUCCAGGCCACUUAGACGCCAGAAAUUCUUCUUCUCAUCCCCCAACUGCAGAUGCCUAGGUGAGUCCUCUCUUACAGGCUUUUUUCAAUACUUACAGUAUAUGCAUAUAUAUUUUUUUUUUUGCAAAAAUAGGAUAAUCUAUUAUAUAUAGUUUUAACCUACUUGUUUCACAUAUCAGCCUAGUUUUCCUUGUCAACAAAGAUAUAUAUGAAUAUGUAUAAUCAUUUUAAAUGCUGCCUUGUAUUUCAUUUAUGAAUUACCAUAAAUUAUUUAACCAAUGCUCCAGUGAUGGAAGUUU
ensembl:lncRNA